UCAAGCUACAAAGAGCGCAAGGGGAAUGCCUUGGCACCAGGAGCCGACGAAGGACGCGGCAAUCUGCGAUAAGCCACGGGGAGCCGAAAGCAGGCAUCGAUCCGUGGAUUUCCGAAUGGGGAAACCCGGCUGAGCAAUACUCAGUCAAGGUAUGCUGAAUACAUAGGCAUAUCUGGGGAACCGCCUGAACUGAAACAUCUCAGUAGGGCGAGGAAAAGAAAUCAACCGAGAUUCCGCCAGUAGUGGCGAGCGAACGCGGAAGAGGCUAAACCAAGGGUAGAAAUACCUUUGGGGUUUUGGACGACAUAACGGUAUUGACAGAGGUUAGUGGAAGGGCAUGGGACGGCCCACCAAAGAGAGUGAUAGUCUCGUACACGAAAACUGAAGUCAGCCAGUCGUAUCCAAAGUACCGCCGGACACGUGAAACCCGGUGGGAAGAUGGGGGGACCAUCCUCCAAGCCUAAAUACUCCCUGGUGACCGAUAGCGUAUAGUACUGUGAAGGAAAGGUGAAAAGAACCCCGGGAGGGGAGUGAAAAGAACCUGAAACCUUGUGCUUACAAGCACGCAAAGCACGUCAAUGUGUGAUGCGGUACCUUUUGUAGAAUGGUCCGGCGAGUGAGUCUAACUAGCCAGGUUAAGUGCUUAAGGCACGCAGCCGUAGCGAAAGCGAGUCUGAAUAGGGCGUAUGAAGUUAGUUGGAUUCGACCCGAAACCGGGUGACCUAUCCAUGUCCAGGCUGAAGUGGAGGUAAAACUCCAUGGAGGGCCGAACCCACUGAUGUUGAAAAAUCACGGGAUGAGGUGUGGCUAGCGGUGAAAUUCCAAUCGAACCCGGAGAUAGCUGGUUCUCUCCGAAAUAGUUUUAGGACUAGCCUCGAUAAGACAUUGCCGGAGGUAGAGCACUGAAUGGGCUAGGGGCCGAGAGGCUACCGCCCCCUAUCAAACUCCGAAUGCCGGUUAAUGACGAUUAUCGGGAGUCAGACUAUGUGAGAUAAGUUUCAUAGUCGAGAGGGAAACAACCCAGACCCACAGCUAAGGUCCCUAAGUAUGAUUAAGUGUAAAAGGAUGUGGAGCUGCAAAGACAACCAGGAUGUUGGCUUAGAAGCAGCCAUUCAUUGAAAGAGUGCGUAACAGCUCACUGGUCAAGUGGCUCUGCGCCGAAAAUGUAACGGGGCUAAAUCAUACACCGAAGCUUGGGAAUUUAGAUGUUAGACAGUAGACAUUAGAAGUUAGAAGUGAAGAGACGGGAGUGAGAUCUCAAUUGAGUGGAUAUCGAGACUUAAAGGUAUACGAACGGUCGUAUGCCGGCGCAAGAUCGAUAUACAAGCUGACACAAAGUUAUCCGAAAGAGGAAGUGUACGGCAUAAGCAGUCAAAUGAGAAGGUCAUCAUUGUCAAUAGCGCUGAACAUAGCUGAAGGUUAUGCUAAAAGAGAAAGCCAGGCAGAAUUCAAGAGAUUUUUGUAUAUGGCUUUAGGUUCAGCGAAUGAAUUGAGCGUACUGAUAGAGUUUUCAAAGGAUUUAGGAUACAUAGGUGAAGAAGUGUAUCUGAAAGCGUCCAAAGAAUAUGAAGAGAUAAGCAAAAUGCUCAAUGCAUUGAUUCAGACAAUUACACGUCAAAACAAUCACAUCUAAAAUCUAAUAUCUAGCGUCUAACAUCUAAGUUGGUAGGAGAGCGUUGAAUACGGGGUGAAGUCGUAGCGAGAGCGGCGGUGGACUGUAUUCAAGUGAGAAUGCCGGAAUGAGUAGCGAGAUUUAUGUGAGAAUCAUAAAGGCCGAAAGACUAAGGAUUCAGAAGGAAGGUUCGUCCGCUUCUGGUUAGCCGGGGGCUAAGGUGAGGCCGAAAGGCGUAGCCGAUGCAUAUACGGUGGAAAUUCCGUAGCCGCCGAAAGAUUUAAGUAAAGGGACACUUUGAAAGUUCAUGACCCGGGCGUUGGUAGCCCCGGGCGAAAGGGACCGAAAAUUACAAGUAGGGAAGCAUGAAUGGACAGAGGCGAGAAAAGCUUUAUGAAUAUCUAAGGCGCCCGUACCGCAAACCGACACAGGUAGUUAGGAAGAAGAUUCUAAGGCCAUCGGGAGAAGGGUAGUUAAGGAACUCGGCAAAUUGACCCCGUAACUUCGGAAGAAGGGGUGGUGCGUACGCGCACCCGCAGUGAAAAGGUCCAGGCGACUGUUUAUCAAAAACACAGCUCUCUGCUAAAUCGAAAGAUGACGUAUAGGGGGUGACACCUGCCCGGUGCCGGAAGGUUAAGAGGAGGAGUGCAAGCUUUGAAUCGAAGCCCCGGUAAACGGCGGCCGUAACUAUAACGGUCCUAAGGUAGCGAAAUUCCUUGUCGGGUAAGUUCCGACCCGCACGAAUGGUGUAACGACCCGGACACUGUCUCAACUGCCCGCCCGGCGAAAUUGUAGUACCGGUGAAGAUGCCGGUUACCCGCGGCAAGACGGAAAGACCCCAUGGAGCUUUACUGUAGCCUAAUAUUGGGUUUUGGUACUUUAUGUACAGGAUAGGCGGGAGACUUGGAAGCUGUUACGUCAGUGAUAGUGGAGUCAUCGUUGGGAUACCGCCCUUAGAGUGCUGAAAUUCUAACCUUCGGCCGUGAAUCCGGUCGGGGAACAUUGUUAGGUGGGCAGUUUGACUGGGGCGGUCGCCUCCCAAAGAGUAACGGAGGCGCUCAAAGGUUAGCUCAGCACGGACGGAAACCGUGCUUUAGAGUGCAAACGCGAAAGCUAGCCUAACUGCGAGGCCUACAAGCCGAGCAGUAACGAAAGUUGGAGUUAGUGAUCCGGCGGUAUGUGAAUGG
rnacentral:rRNA from 1 species